GUGAGAGGCCAGCCGUCCUGCCAGCACCCCACAGCCAGGCCCCACUCCCAGCUCCUGUCUGGGAUGGCUCCCUCCAACCACCCCAAACCCCACUGGAGGUGAGGAGCUUCUUCCUAUAGGAAAAAUCCCAAUUUUUUUUUUUCCUGAAAAUGCCCAGGGGGAAUAUUUUUUUUUAAAAAUACUCCUAUUGUUGAGGAGCUACCUAGGGCUGGGGAAGAUGGGAAUGAUGGAUUAUCUCAGGCUGGAGCAGGGAUGUUCCAGCUCCCUGUGAGGAAGGAUACAGGAUUAUCCCAGGCUGGACUAGGGAUGGUCAGGGAUACUCCAGUUCCUUGUGAGCAGGAAUACAGGAUUAUCCCAGGCUGGACCAGGGAUGCUCAGGGAUGCUCCAGCUCCCUGUGAGGAAGGAUACAGGAUUAUCCCAGGCUGGAGAAGGGAUGCUCAGGGAUGUUCCAGGUCCCUGUGCACACAGUGAGAAAGGAUACAGGAUUAUCCCAGACUGGACCAGGGAUGCUCAGGGAUGUUCCAGCUCCCCGUGAGAAAGGACACAUGAUCAUCCCAGGCUGGAGCAGGGAUGCUCAGGGGUGCUCCAACUCCCUGUGAGGAAGGAUACAGAAUUAUCCCAGACUGGACCAGGGAUGCUCAGGGAUGUUUCAGCUCCCUGUGAGGAAGGAUACAGGAUUAUCCCAGGCUGGAGCAGGGAUGCUCCAGUUCCCUGUGAGGAAGGAUACAGGGAU
rnacentral:lncRNA from 1 species